rnacentral:lncRNA from 1 species
AUUGCUUGGAAAUGCUUUUUGAACAGCUCCAUCUUGUUUGGAAAUGGGCCUCAGCGCGACUGCCGUGUUGCCGUGACAAACAGCAAGAAAUCCUCUCACGCCGUUUGUGCUUCUAGAUGUGGGCCACGCUGCGCUGCCCGCCGAGAGGCCUCGUGCCAACCUCAGCUGGAAAACACAUCAAGGUUUUGCCGGCAGAUCGCUGAAAUCCAUCAAAGACCAAAGUUACCAGGCAGUAGCAUCCCUGCCAGAGCCCUGUGCCGUGGCAGCGCUCAGGGCGCUUGCAGUCACCACCUUCUUCCUCGCCCGGGACACCAAGGCACGGCUGCAAGUACAGAGAAGAGGACAACAGCCAGCAGGGGAAGGCAGCACGGCACAGAGGGGUCUGUCCCCAGUGGUGUUACAGCCAGGCAGGGAGACUGGCUGGAGAGGAGAGGAACCUAAAUUACACCUCAUAUGAAGCGGU